rnacentral:rRNA from 1 species
UACGUAGGGGGCAAGCGUUGUCCGGAUUUAUUGGGCGUAAAGAGCGUGUAGGCGGCCAUACAGGUCAGCUGUGAAAACUCGAGGCUCAACCUCGAGACGUCGGUUGAAACCGUUUGGCUAGAGUCCGGAAGAGGAGAGUGGAAUUCCCGGUGUAGCGGUGAAAUGCGCAGAUAUCGGGAAGAACACCCGUGGCGAAGGCGGCAUCCUGGACCGGCAUUGACGCUGAGGCGCGAAAGCCAGGGGAGCAAACGGG